AUUGAACGCUGGCGGCAGGCCUAACACAUGCAAGUCGAGCGGAAACGAAGAGGAGCUUGCUCCUUUGGCGUCGAGCGGCGGACGGGUGAGUAAUGCUUGGGAAUGUGCCUUAUGGUGGGGGACAACAGUUGGAAACGGCUGCUAAUACCGCAUAAUGUCUUCGGACCAAAGGGGGCUUCGGCUCUCGCCUUUAGAUUGGCCCAAGUGGGAUUAGCUAGUUGGUGAGGUAAUGGCUCACCAAGGCGACGAUCCCUAGCUGGUUUGAGAGGAUGAUCAGCCACACCGGGACUGAGACACGGCCCAG
rnacentral:rRNA from 1 species